rnacentral:rRNA from 1 species
GACGAACGCUGGCGGCGUGCCUAAUACAUGCAAGUCGAAUGCAGUGGGGACGGGUGAGUAACCCGUGGGUAACCUCCCCAUCAGCGGGGAUAACACUUGGAAACAGGUGGUAAACCGCUUCUGAUGGAUGGACCCGCGGUGCAUUAGCUAGUUGGUGAGGUAACGGAUAACCAAGGCCACGAUGCAUAGCAGACCGGGGAGGGUUAUCGGCCACACUGUGACUGAGACACGGCCCAUACUCCGACGGGACGCAGCGUUAGGGAAUCUUCGGCAAUGGACGAAAGUCUGACCGAGCCACGCCGCGUGAGUGAAGAAGGUUUGCGGAUCGUAAAACUCUGUUGUCAGAGAAGCGGUAUCUAACCAGAAAGCCACGGCUAACUACGUGCCAGCAGCCGCGGUAAUAC